UAACAUGAACAAACAAUGAACAACUGUAUUUUCAUUAACGUUAACGGAGAUUAGUAAAUACAGGAACAGACGUAUUGCUCAUGGUUUGUUCAUGUUAGUUAAUACAUUAACUUAAUGUUUAACUAAUGAACCUUAUUGUAAAGUGUUACCGCUAAUGUAGUCAGAUUGAUUUGGUGAUAAUAAUGUUUUUGUUGUUUAGAUGAAGCAGUUUUUUUUUUACCUGAUUUUACAGUUCAGUUACAUACUUGUAUGGAUCUUUUUGUUCUGAUGAUUGGCCUGUUCGUACAUCCUGCUAAACCAGUAUUGCAUGUCAUAUGAGAAGUGAUUUUGUUUUUUCUGUUUGCAUUUUCUGUUAGCUUGUUGCUUGCCCUCUCUACUCAGAAGAGUUAUAGGAAUUGUGUGUGUGUGUGUGUGUGUGUGUGUGUUGGCCUUUGUGAUUUAUGAGGACAUUUCGUAUGAAUACACGCCACAUUAUGAGGACAUUUUGAAUUAUGAGGACAUGGCCGGUGUCCUCAUAAUUCGGGCAAUGUAGAAGUGCUCCAGUAGCUAGGGGGAGCUGAAAUCCAAAAUUUCUCCACAUGUCUUUAUAAUUCACAUAAACCUGAAUUUGUGUAUGACGUGUGUAUCGGAAGUGCGCCUCUGUAGCCGGGACUUGGUACUGCGCCUCCUCAUUAAUUAUUAAUACGUGUGUAUGAAAUCGCGGCUUCUGAUUGGCUGACCGCCGGAAGUCCUCAUAAUGUCGGAAUUUGUCAAACUCAAGCCAUGUUAACACAGUUCUACAACAAAGACGGUAUAGGAAAAUAUAUAAUUUUAAGUAUAAAAUAAUAGCCACGUAUUACAUUUACUAAAUUAUAUAUAAAAAGCACUGCAAACUGAACCCUCUAAUCCCACCUGACCGAAGCCUUUUCUCUGUGGAUGUCUGACGACGACGUCAUCUCUCAUCGCCCGUAAGGUAAGAUUAAUGAUAAGCACUAAGCUACUCUUUAUGUUAAAAUCUGUUUUAGUUUAUAACGAUUUAAACUAGUGUUGUUAAUAAGAUGAUUGUGAAAUUACAGAGAAUGAGCUGUUAAUCAAGUUAGCUUUGUUAAAACAUCCCUUACGAAAAUUAACCAUGGUUUUACUAUAGUAAAAGUGUAGUAACCAUGUUUUUUGGCUAAUAAAAUUUAUAUAACCACAGUUUUACCACAAAUACCAUGGUUAAACUAUGGUUAGAGUUGCAAAGCUAUGGUUAAUUUGUGGUUACCAUGGUUUAACUAUAAUAACCUUUUUUUCUUUUCUUUUUUUGGUUUUAUUUGUACUAAUACAUAUAAAUAUACAUGUAAUUUUAUAUGUAGUAAUAAGUAACACUUAUUUCAUAAAUGUUAUUGUGCUCUAAACAAUUAUUAAAACAUAAGCUUUAAUCAUGUUGAGAAUUUGUGAUACUUUAGUAUACUUUAUUGUUAAUCUACGCAGAUAACUUCAGAGAGUGAAGAACCUGCCUCACUCGUCUGUGGAGAUGGGAGUAAAACAUCACUGAUGAUAACUUCAGAGAGUGAAGAACCUGCCUCACUCGUCUGUGGAGAUGGGAGUAAAACAUCACUGAUGAUAACUUCAGAGAGUGAAGAACCUGCCUCACUCGUCUGUGGAGAUGGGAGUAAAACAUCACUGAUGAUAACUUCAGAGAGUGAAGAACCUGCCUCACUCGUCUGUGGAGAUGGGAGUAAAACAUCACUGAUGCAGUUUACAAAAAAAAAAUAAAAAGAAGAAGAAGUGGAGCAGUAGGGAAGAUCAUUGACAAGCUGUCAUUCCUGAAAAUCCUGCUGAAAAGGAUGCCAGAAGGAAACAAAAACAGCAAUGGUCAGAGAAGAGAAAGAGACAGGAACAAAACAUUGUGUUUUGAUGGUGUAGUUUUUUUUUUUUUUUUUGGUUUUAUAUGUAUGAGCAAGGUUAUACAUUGUUUAGUGAUAUGAUAUAAUAUGCUUUGUUCAAGGUUAUCAAAGGUAAAGGGUAAAGUGCUUUACCUCAACGCAUUUUUUUUUUUUUGUAUAUGAAAAAGCACACAUUAAAAUUUGCUUCUUGUUC